UACGUAGGGCGCAAGCGUUGUCCGGAAUUAUUGGGCGUAAAGAGCUCGUAGGCGGCCAGUUGCGUCCGCUGUGAAAUCCCGGGGCUUAACCCCGGGCGUGCAGUGGAUACGGGCUGGCUAGAGGCAGGCAGGGGAGAACGGAAUUCCCGGUGUAGCGGUGAAAUGCGCAGAUAUCGGGAGGAACACCGGUGGCGAAGGCGGUUGCCUGGAGCUUUGCUGACGCUGAGGCGCGAAAGCGUGGGGAGCGAGUCCGG
rnacentral:rRNA from 1 species